rnacentral:rRNA from 1 species
AUCCUAAGGUGAGCGAGAGAACUCUCGUUAAGGAACUCGGCAAAAUGACCCCGUAACUUCGGGAGAAGGGGUGCUCUAUUAGGGUGCAAGCCCGAGAGAGCCGCAGUGAAUAGGCCCAGGCGACUGUUUAGCAAAAACACAGGUCUCUGCAAAACCGUAAGGUGACGUAUAGGGGCUGACGCCUGCCCGGUGCUGGAAGGUUAAGAGGAGUGCUUAGCUUCGGCGAAGGUACGAAUUGAAGCCCCAGUAAACGGCGGCCGUAACUAUAACGGUCCUAAGGUAGCGAAAUUCCUUGUCGGGUAAGUUCCGACCCGCACGAAAGGCGCAACGAUCUGGGCACUGUCUCAACGAGAGACUCGGUGAAAUUAUAGUACCUGUGAAGAUGCAGGUUACCCGCGACAGGACGGAAAGACCCCGUGGAGCUUUACUGCAACCUGAUAUGGAAUGUUUGUACCGCUUGUACAGGAUAGGUAGGAGCCGAAGAGACGUGUGCGCUAGCAUACGAGGAGGCAAUGGUGGGAUACUACCCUGGCUGUAUGACCAUUCUAACCCGCCACGCUUAGCGCGUGGGGAGACAGUGUCAGGUGGGCAGUUUGACUGGGGC